rnacentral:rRNA from 1 species
ACGAAACUUGCCCCGAGAUGAGUUCUCCCUGACUCCUUGAGAGUCCUGAAGGAACGUUGAAGACGACGACGUUGAUAGGCCGGGUGUGUAAGCGCAGCGAUGCGUUGAGCUAACCGGUACUAAUGAACCGUGAGGCUUAACCUU